GUGGGGAAUCUUGCGCAAUGGGCGAAAGCCUGACGCAGCCAUGCCGCGUGAAUGAUGAAGGUCUUAGGAUUGUAAAAUUCUUUCACCGGGGACGAUAAUGACGGUACCCGGAGAAGAAGCUCCGGCUAACUUCGUGCCAGCAGCCGCGGUAAUACGAAGGGGGCUAGCGUUGCUCGGAAUUACUGGGCGUAAAGGGCGCGUAGGCGGACAGCUUAGUCAGAGGUGAAAGCCCAGGGCUCAACCUUGGAAUUGCCUUUGAUACUGGCUGUCUUGAGUUUGGGAGAGGUGAGUGGAACUCCGAGUGUAGAGGUGAAAUUCGUAGAUAUUCGGAAGAACACCAGUGGCGAAGGCGACUCACUGGCCCAAUACUGACGCUGAGGCGCGAAAGCGUGGGGUGCAAACAGGAUUAGAUACCCGAGUAGUCC
rnacentral:rRNA from 1 species